CUCAGUUCGGACUGGAGUCUGCAACCCGACUCCACGAAGCUGGAUUCGCUAGUAAUCGCGCAUCAGCCACGGCGCGGUGAAUACGUUCCCGGGCCUUGUACACACCGCCCGUCAAGCCAUGGGAGCCGGGGGUACCUGAAGUGCGUAACCGCGAGGAGCGCCCUAGGGUAAAACUGGUGACUGGGGCUAAGUCGUAACAAGGUAAC
rnacentral:rRNA from 1 species